rnacentral:rRNA from 1 species
UGAGUAGCGAAAGACGGGUGAGAAUCCCGUCCACCGAUUGACUAAGGUUUCCAGAGGAAGGCUCGUCCGCUCUGGGUUAGUCGGGUCCUAAGCUGAGGCCGACAGGCGUAGGCGAUGGAUAACAGGUUGAUAUUCCUGUACCACCAUUAUUCGUUUUAAGCGAUGGGGGGACGCAGUAGGAUAGGCGAAGCGUGCUGUUGGAGUGCACGUCCAAGCAGUGAGAUUGAGUGUUAGGCAAAUCCGGCACUCUUAAGAUUGAGCUGUGAUGGGGAGAGGAACUUGUUCCUCGAGUCGUUGAUUUCACACUGCCGAGAAAAGCCUCUAGCUAGAAUAACGGUGCCCGUACCGCAAACCGACACAGGUAGUCAAGAUGAGAAUUCUAAGGUGAGCGAGCGAACUCUCGUUAAGGAACUCGGCAAAAUGACCCCGUAACUUCGGGAGAAGGGGUGCUCUUUGAGGUUCACGCUUCGAAGAGCCGCAGUGAAUAGGCCCAAGCGACUGUUUAUCAAAAACACAGGUCUCUGCUAAACCGUAAGGUGACGUAUAGGGGCUGACGCCUGCCCGGUGCUGGAAGGUUAAGAGGAGUGGUUAGCGCAAGCGAAGCUACGAAUCGAAGCCCCAGUAAACGGCGGCCGUAACUAUAACGGUCCUAAGGUAGCGAAAUUCCUUGUCGGGUAAGUUCCGACCCGCACGAAAGGCGUAACGAUUUGGGCACUGUCUCAACGAGAGACUCGGUGAAAUCAUAGUACCGGUGAAGAUGCCGGUUACCCGCGACAGGACGGAAAGACCCCGUGGAGCUUUACUGUAGCCUGAUAUUGAAAUUCGGUACAGUUUGUACAGGAUAGGUAGGAGCCUUAGAAGCGUGAGCGCUAGCUUACGUGGAGGCAUUGGUGGGAUACUACCCUAAUUGUAUUGGAUUUCUAACCCGCAGCACUUAUCGUGCUGGGAGACAGUGUCAGGCGGGCAGUUUGACUGGGGCGGUCGCCUCCUAAAGAGUAACGGAGGCGCUCAAAGGUUCCCUCAGAAUGGUUGGAAAUCAUUCAUAGAGUGUAAAGGCAUAAGGGAGCUUGACUGCGAGACCUACAAGUCGAGCAGGGUCGAAAGACGGACUUAGUGAUCCGGUGGUUCCGCAUGGAAGGGCCAUCGCUCAACGGAUAAAAGCUACCCCGGGGAUAACAGGCUUAUCUCCCCCAAGAGUUCACAUCGACGGGGAGGUUUGGCACCUCGAUGUCGGCUCAUCGCAUCCUGGGGCUGUAGUCGGUCCCAAGGGUUGGGCUGUUCGCCCAUUAAAGCGGUACGCGAGCUGGGUUCAGAACGUCGUGAGACAGUUCGGUCCCUAUCCGUCGUGGGCGUAGGAAAUUUGAGAGGAGCUGUCCUUAGUACGAGAGGACCGGGAUGGACAUACCUCUGGUGUACCAGUUGUCGUGCCAACGGCAUAGCUGGGUAGCUAUGUAUGGACGGGAUAAGUGCUGAAAGCAUCUAAGCAUGAAGCCCCCCUCGAGAUGAGAUUUCCCAACUUCGGUUAUAAG